CCUACGGGAGGCAGCAGUGGGGAAUUUUGGACAAUGGGCGAAAGCCUGAUCCAGCCAUUCCGCGUGAGUGAAGAAGGCCUUCGGGUUGUAAAGCUCUUUCGCAAGGGAAGAAAACUUAGCUACUAAUAUUAGCUGAGGUUGACGGUACCUUGAUAAGAAGCACCGGCUAACUACGUGCCAGCAGCCGCGGUAAUACGUAGGGUGCGAGCGUUAAUCGGAAUUACUGGGCGUAAAGCGUGCGCAGGCGGUUUUGUAAGUCAGAUGUGAAAUCCCCGAGCUCAACUUGGGAACUGCGUUUGAAACUACAAGACUAGAAUAUGUCAGAGGGGGGUAGAAUUCCACGUGUAGCAGUGAAAUGCGUAGAGAUGUGGAGGAAUACCAAUGGCGAAGGCAGCCCCCUGGGAUAAUAUUGACGCUCAUGCACGAAAGCGUGGGGAGCAAACAGGAUUUAGAUACCCUGGUAGUCCCGACCGACCUAACCGACUAGUCUACUAGUUAGUUGGUUGGUAGUAAAGUACUACUGAGUAACGACGAGCUAACGACGUGAAGUAGACCGCCGUCGGGAGGUACGGUCGGCGAGAAGUAAACGUAACGAAGAAAGUAGUAGCGUGAGAGNGCGACGACGACGACGAGGGAGGAGG
rnacentral:rRNA from 1 species